rnacentral:rRNA from 1 species
GUCCACGCCCUAAACGAUGUCUACUAGUUGUCGGGUUUUAAUUAACUUGGUAACGCAGCUAACGCGUGAAGUAGACCGCCUGGGGAGUACGGUCGCAAGAUUAAAACUCAAAGGAAUUGACGGGGACCCGCACAAGCGGUGGAUGAUGUGGAUUAAUUCGAUGCAACGCGAAAAACCUUACCUACCCUUGACAUGUACGGAAGUCACGAGAGAUCGAGAUGUGCUCGAAAGAGAACCGUAACACAGGUGCUGCAUGGCUGUCGU